GAGGGUCCCAACGGUAAUAUCUCCGCGCCGCGCCGCGUUGCCGACCGACCGACCGACCCCUCGCCCUGCCUACCCGGUCCGGACCCAGCCCCAACCCACCACCACCAGCUCCACUUCCCUCCGGUUUCCGCCGCCCGCCGAAGCCGCCUCCGGCAAGGACCCGGCCGGUGCCACCGCCCCUUCCCCGGUGGCCCGCCCACGGCCAGGCGCGCCCUGUCCUCCCUCCCGGCGCUCUGGCCGUGGCUCGCCGGUGCGCUCCUCCUCCCUUCGCCCGGGGCCCCGGGCCCUGCCUCCCGCCUCGCCUCGCCGCGCCUCCUCGCGCCCGGUUUGGAUUCGCUCAUCCUCCAUUCGCCGCCCGUUUAGGUUUCAACCGCGCCUGAUUUGGUUCCUGCUCGUGCUCGAUUCGUCAGUUUGGAGUCGCGGUUCGCUUCGAUUUUGCUCGCCCUCGCCGUCGCCCGUUUGGGGUUGCCGUCCGGUUCAAUUUUGCUCGCCGCCUUCAUCCAUUUAGAGUCGCCGUUCCGUUCGAUUUUGCUCGCCCUCGCCGUCGUCCGUGUGGAGUCGCGUCUGGUUCGAUCUUGGUCGUCUUCGCCGUCGUCCGUGUAGAGUCGCGUCCGAUUCGAUUUUGCUCGUCGUCGCAGGCGUCCGUGUAGAGUCGCGUCCGGUUCGAUUUCGCUCGUCCUCGCCGUUGUCCCGAUGCGCUCGCGUGUUCUUGGUCCGUGUCGCCUCGUCGGGGGUCUCCGUCUCGUUUGCUGCGUUGCUUAUGUUCCCAAUGUCUGUCUUUCCAUAUAUGGGGAUGCGUUCAGAGGUGCAAACCAUGUAGGCCGUGGUGUGUUUAUAGUAUCUAUGGUGUGUUCUACACUAUCUGAUGUGAAAUGUAGAAAUAUUGAUAUCACUUCUGUGCUAGUAUAUUAGAUAUGGUGUGUUUUAUCCAAGUUAUUAACCACAUCUCUUACAAAUUUUCCUUGAGAUGGUACAUGUUUAUAUGCCGGGAGUGAUUGAUGUCUUGACGAAUAUAAUCGUUUAUGCUAACUUGGUAUUGGUAGUUCCUGAGGUAACACAACAGUAUUUGUUUAGUGCAGACAAUUGACUAUUCUUUUUUCUGAACUUUUUUGUGAUAUGUGUGUUAUGUGGAUAUCAUAUUCUAAUGCUUUUCUAAGUAUUUAAGGUACAACCUUGUUUAUUGAGAUAUGACCAUCAAUUCUUGCUGUAAAAUAUUGAAUAUUUGCAUGAAAAUCAUAUAAAGAGUCAUUUACUAGUUAUUUGUUUCUUUUGCAGAUAAGUGCGAGAAGGCACUAUAAACUUCAAGAUUCGGACUAAGUGGCUAAGAGAACAAAGAAGAGGAGGAAAAAUGGACUUGUGCGAGAAGAAACGAAGUAACCAGGGGGCUAACUAUUGAAGAGAGGAUCAUCUUGUGCUAAAAGUAAAGAAGGAGGGGGGCCGAAUUAAAAAAAGGUGACAGAUCGGAGGAGGGGAUAAAAUCCCUAGCCGCCUCCUUCGUUCCCCUUUGAGCCUAGCACACAUCUCUCUCCCUCAUCCCUCCUUCUCCACAUCCGGCCGCCGCCGCGGCCAGGCCGGCGUGGCGGCGCGCCAUCCAUCACCAGCACCACCGCACCCCAGCGCGCCACCAACACCUCCACCAUCGCCCUGCGCCUCCAUCCAUCACCUGCGCCAUCCAUCCACCGCCAUCCACAGCGCCGCCUCAUCACCUCACGCCGCCGCCCAUCCAUCUCCUUGCUGCUCCUCUCUCUCACACAACUCCUGCUGCUGUGCUUCUUCCUCUUUUCCUAACCUUGCUGCUGCUCAGAACCUUAACUUGUUGCUGCCACUUCUUCUCUGAACCCAACACUGCUAGUUGCUGCUCCUAAUCUUCUCUGAACCCCAGCCUGCUGCUCUUGCUUCCUCCCUUACCUCUGCUGCUGCUCCUUCCUAUGCGCCCCUGCUGCUCUUCUUGCGCCCAAGCUACUGCUCCUUCUUCUCUUCCUCUGCUGUUGCUCUCUCAACCCUCCACGCUGCAGCUGCUGCUCUGAACUCCAACCUCCUGCUGUCUCUCUUCUCUGAACUUCUCCUUUCUUUACUGCUGCGUGUGUGUGUAAUUUUGCGAACUAUUAGUGUUGAGACUUGAUCAACUAGAUUUUGUACUAGUGCAAUAUUUGUGCCCUGUCCGUUAGUUAGUGAUUUGUAAAACUUCAGAUUGCUUCUUGUGAAUUAUGUGUUGAACUUUAAGGAUGGUUGAUAGCUCCAGUGCAUGUGAUUUUUAUAUUGUCUCAGUUUCUUGUGAUAAAUGUACUUGUGAAUUGUGAUGUGAAGCAUUUCUAGUCUGUAGUAUAAUAUUGUUUCUUCCAUCUUCUUACAUGUUAGAUGGUUAUAUGUGUACAUGUCUUGCAUCUUCUCGGUGUGUAUUUUAAUUCCUCAAGUAUAAUAAAAAUACCAAAAAGACAGUGAAGAAAAUCUGAACCUUCCUUUGCCUUUUUUUGCAUUUUCUUUGGUGACGAUCUUUGGGUACAACCUUGUUAGUUUAGUUUUUAUUUUCUGCAUUCUUCUCUUAAAAUUGUGUUACCUAGCUUUAGCCGAGCAUAGUCGUCGUCGCCUAGUCCCUGUGGAGAAUACGACAUCCGUAGUUUGGGGCGUAAAAAAACCCCGCUAUACUUUCUUUUGAUCAUUUUGGCGCCGUUGCCGGGGACUAGCGUCGUGUGACUGUGUUAGGCUAUAGACUAGGUUUUUCUUCUUUUUCUAGUUUGUGCCAUAUAUUUGUGAUAUAUCUCUAACUCCUAACCCUUGUUCUAGUUUAUUUUCUCUUUGUUUUCUUUUCCUUUUUGCAGGUUAGAACUAUCUUCUCGGUUAUGGCUUACUAUUCAGAUCAUCAGGCUUAUGCGAGCAACACUACAAACAGCACGGAAAGUAUUCAAGAACUGAUAAUUAAGAUUUCCCAUCAAUUAGAUGAUUUAGCUCGGCAGCGAGAGGUAGUUUUUGAGGAUAGGCCUAGCUCUUAUGAUCCUUACUCUAGAGGUCAUCCUUAUGUUGCUCCUACAUGCCAUAUUUGUGGAUUUCAGGGCCAUUCACCCGCUGAAUGUCAGCGUGGUUACUCUCACCCUCCCGAUUGUUAUGGCAUGAGCUUCGCCCCACAGCCUAGCUCAUACCAAAACAAUUACACACAUGGGUGGCCUGAAAACUAGAAUAUGUCAUAUAGGAGCAAUAACCCUGAGAUCUCAUCGUUUGCCUCUAGUUAUCCAAUGCAGGGAGUUAGGUAUGAAGAGGAGAGCCACAACUAUGCUCCGCAACAGUUUCAUUCACCUCCUACUCAUAUACCGCAGCACCAGGAGAUGUGUCCAAUGGAGUUAAAUGGUCCUCCAUUUGGGCAACCGACAACUCCAGAACCUGAUUAGUCAUUAGUGCAAUCUCAUGUGCAAGUGACCACACAAGAUGAGUUCGAUGACAUAGACAAGCUCACACUUUUGAGUCUCGAGUUCACUUGGAGUGCCGAGGAUGAUCCUAUUAGGAAGGUUAUACUAGAGGAAAUGAAGAAGAUCAAGAGUGGGAAUGAGCUAGUGGAAGAAGUAAAGAAGAUUGAGAAGAACAUAAACGCUGGCAGUACUAUUUCUUCACAGCUUGAGUUGAGUAAUUCUGGAAUUCUCCUUGAUACACGUGAGGUUCCAAUACCGUCACAUCCAGCUGAGCAAGAUAGCAAGUGCCUUGAGCAAGAGAUACCUCAGAUUGAAGAAGAUGAACUAGAAGACAAGGAACAAGAUGAUCAAGAGCUGCAAUUCCCAAGUGAUCAAGUUGAAGACUCGUCAUCUACUACUCCUGAAGAAGUAAAAGAAGCUGUUGUAGAUGAAGAUGAAGAACAUGAGAUUCAUUUGCCUAUUGUCAUACCAGAGCGUGAUGUGUCAGGUUUACCCAAUCCUCUCGAUGAGUUGCGUCCUUAUGAUUCCUUUGCUUCUACCUUGCAUUGCAUGAUGCCAUCUGUUAAAGUAGAUUUGAAAAAGUAUUUGCUUGGAUAUGAUUAUAUAUACCCUGUUAGUGGCAUUACACACAUUAAUGAUGAUCACAGUUACUUUCCUCGUGCUAGACCUAUGCUUAAUGAAACAUAUCAUUCUUAUGCUAGUCUUGAGCUUAAUGAAAAAUAUCAUCCUCAUGUUAGUGUUGACUUUGCUGAUUUCUACCAUCCUAAACAUGUGCUUUAUAGCUAUGCUUAUGUAAUUGGAUAUUCGAUUGAUGACUUGGAGGGUAUUAUCCCUACCACUUGCAUUGUCUCUUUCAUUGAGUGCUCUUUCAGGUUGUUGCUUGUGCACGAUCCACUACAUGCUGAUCAAGUUCGAGAUGACAUUCCCUGGGACCCCGGUGGACCCAUGGCAUGGGGAUGAGGAGAAGCAAGGGGCACAUACGAAGAAGAGAGAAGCUGGAGCAGGCAUGAGGAUAGGGAAGCAAUAGGAGAGGAGUCACAAUGCACGAGGAAGCAAAGGAGAGGAGCUGCAGUUGGUGAGGUGAUCGAGCGAGUGCUACAUGAUCAAAGCCCGGUGAGAUGUUUCAUGACCCAUUCUGAAUGUCAUAAAUACAUGCUAAAUUCAAUUGCUAGUUGGGUUGCUUGAGCUAGUUAUUACUUGUUGUCAAGCUGAAAUUCACCUUUGGCAUUGUGCUUGAUGUGAAUUUGUGAACUUGAUUUCUGAAUGCCUUGUAAACUAGUGAUCUACACCAUGCAUGCUUUGCUGAAAUUUGUGGAAGUUAUUAGUUUUGAGUGCUCAAAUCCCUAGUACACUAGAAAACUUGAUCAUUUUCUGCUUUUACCUUGAUACACCUAGAUCACCAUGUUUAGAUGCUGAAUUUGUGCUAAGUGUGUUCACAUUGAGAGCAAUCACCUAACCACUAUGGAUUAGCAUGCUAUGUUCCCUGGAUCGGUAGCAUGUGAACCAGACAUGGAGAAGUGAUGAUUCCUGUUUUUGUGCUUAUGCGUUGUUCAUUUAAGAUAAGUAAUAUUGAAUAAAUAAGUCUGGUCUACCUACAGUAGCAUGUCAUGUUCCUUGGAUCGGUGGCAUGUGAAAUCUGGUAGCUUGGACAGUAAUAAAUAAAUAAAAAUGUAAUUGUCAAACCAGGUGUAUACCAUGUUCUCGGGAUCGGUGGUAUGUUCCUUUGGGGAGACAAACAAAAAAAUACUAAUAAUUGGUCGAGCCAGGUGUAUACCAUAUUCUCGGGAUCGGUGGUAUGUUCCUAUGGUGAGACUAAUAAUAAUAUAAUCAUUGCUUUAUCUCUGUAAAUAAGUGAUUUGAUCACAAGAUUUAAUUCCAGAUCAUUUUGUUCUUGGGAUCAUGCUCUCUUUAGGAACCAUUUGGCACAGUCAUCAUUUAAACUUGUUGAUCCUCUUUUAUCAUUGUAAAAGUUUAAAAUGGUCAUGCUUACUAGUAUUCGAUUGCUCUGUAGCACUCUUAACCAUUGAUUUUCACUAGUUAAGUCCAAAGCAUGCUUUGUUUGGAGAUCUACUUCACUGGGACAUUCUCCAGUCAGCUCACUGUUCAUUAUCUAGCUCUUGUCAUAUUCCUUUGCUUGAGGACAAGCAAAAGUUUAAGUGUGGGGGAACUUGAUAAGCACAUUUCAUACACAUCUUUUGUCACUCAAAUAUGCGGUUUAUUGAGAUAUGACCAUCAAUUCUUGCUGUAAAAUAUUGAAUAUUUGCAUGAAAAUCAUAUAAAGAGUCAUUUACUAGUCUUUUUUUUUUGCAGAUAAGUGCGAGAAGGCACUAUAAACUUCAAGAUCCGGACUAAGUGGCUAAGAGAACGAAGAAGAGGAGGAAGAAUGGGCUUGUGCGAGAAGAAAGGAAGUAACCAGGGGGCUAACUAUUGAAGAGAGGAUCAUCUUGUGCUAAAAGUAAAGAAGGAGGGGGGCCGAAUUAAAAAAGGUGACAGAUCGGAAGAGGGGAUAAAAUCCCUAGCCGCCUCCUUCGUUCCCCUUUGAGCCUAGCACACAUCUCUCUCCCUCAUCCCUCCUUCUCCACAUCCGGCCGCCACCGCGGCCAGGCCGGCGUGGCGGCGUGCCAUCCAUCACCAGCACCACCGCACCCCAGCGCGCCACCAACACCUCCACCAUCGCCCUGCGCCUCCAUCCAUCACCUGCGCCAUCCAUCCACCGCCAUCCACAGCGCCGCCUCAUCACCUCGCGCCGCCGCCCAUCCAUCUCCUUGCUGCUCCUCUCUCUCGCAACUCCUGCUGCUGUGCUUCUUCCUCUUUUCCUAACCUUGCUGCUGCUCAGAACCUUAACUUGUUGCUGCCACUUCUUCUUUGAACCCAACACUGCUAGUUGCUGCUCCUAAUCUUCUCUGAACCCCAGCCUGCUGCUCUUGCUUCCUCCCUUACCUCUGCUGCUGCUCCUUCCUAUGCGCCCCUGCUGCUCUUCUUGCGCCCAAGCUACUGCUCCUUCUUCUCUUCCUCUGCUGUUGCUCUCUCAACCCUCCACGCUGCAGCUGCUGCUCUGAACUCCAACCUCCUGCUGUCUCUCUUCUCUGAACUUCUCCUUUCUUUACUGCUGCGUGUGUGUGUAAUUUUGCGAACUAUUAGUGUUGAGACUUGAUCAACUAGAUUUUGUACUAGUGCAAUAUUUGUGCCCUGUCCGUUAGUUAGUGAUUUGUAAAACUUCAGAUUGCUUCUUGUGAAUUAUGUGUUGAACUUUAAGGAUGGUUGAUAGCUCCAGUGCAUGUGAUUUUUAUAUUGUCUCAGUUUCUUGUGAUAAAUGUACUUGUGAAUUGUGAUGUGAAGCAUUUCUAGUCUGUAGUAUAAUAUUGUUUCUUCCAUCUUCUUACAUGUUAGAUGGUUAUAUGUGUACAUGUCUUGCAUCUUCUCGGUGUGUAUUUUAAUUCCUCAAGUAUAAUAAAAAUACCAAAAAGACAGUGAAGAAAAUCUGAACCUUCCUUUGCCUUUUUUUGCAUUUUCUUUGGUGACGGUCUUUGGGUACAACCUUGUUAGUUUAGUUUUUAUUUUCUGCAUUCUUCUCUUAAAAUUGUGUUACCUAGCUUUAGCCGAGCAUAGUCGUCGUCGCCUAGUCCCUGUGGAGAAUACGACGUCCAUAGUUUGGGGCGUAAAAAAACCCCGCUAUACUUUCUUUUGAUCAUACAUGUUUAUAUGCCGGGAGUGGUUUAUGUCUUGAUGAAUAUAAUCGUUUAUGCUAACUUGGUAUUGGUAGUUCCUGAGGUAACACAACAGUAUUUGUUUAGUGCAGACAAUUGACUAUUCUUUUUUCUGAACUUUUUUGUGAUAUGUGUGUUAUGUGGAUAUCAUAUUCUAAUGCUUUUCUAAGUAUUUAAGGUACAUCCUUGUGGAUCUAGACAUGUCACAUUUGCUCUUUUUUGGGUUGCUAAGGACACUGAACAUUUUGGCUGGGCCACUGCACGGCCUGGAUAAUCAAGUACACUUGAUUUUAUGUGUAGUUGAUGUUCUCUGCCACAUCAUGCUCAAUUUGUGCUUGCCAAAUGGAUCUCUUGGAACAAAUUGUUCGUAAUAAAUGAACAAAUUGCAGAACUUGUGGCUAUGCUAUUUACCCACUUGCUUUUGCACAUGAUGUUGAGAAGAAGAAAAACAUACGCCCUGUUAUUUUAAAAUGCUGUAUUUACUGUUUUGAUGCGCAUAAACUGAGAAUAGUCACCAUAUACUCAUUUAAAGUGUGCUCAUUUUAAUUUUAUAAAAUACCUAGUAUUGAAAGAUUAUGUAGAUCGAAGCUGGUUAAUUAAUACCUGUUCAGAAAAGUGUACAAAGAAUGACUGCAUCAUGCUUGUCAUCUUGUGAAAGAAAUCCUCCAGUGAAUUUACUGCUGUUCCAGUGUCGUCAUGUAAAUCUCAUAGAGAAUGUUUAUCUCUAGAUUUGUUUCACUACCACAAAUAACUGACAUUAUAUUAUGUUUUUGUGGGCUUUGUAACUGCUCAUUAUAUCUUCUUCGGUGACUUUGUAAUUGACCUUGUUGUUAUUAUAUAAAAAAAUGCUGCAACAUUCUUGAUCUGUAACUAUGCUGGCUAUCUAUACACAGGUUGUAGUGAUUAGAGAGAAGCUUGCGAAACUGUAUGAAUCUGAACAACAAUGGUUGAGAGCAGCACAAAUGCUUAGUGGCAUUGACUUGGACUCAGGAAUCAGGAUACUUGAUGACACAAACAAAUUAUCCAAGUGCGUCCAGAUUACACGACUCUAUUUGGAGGAUGAUGAUGAUGCAGUGAAUGCUGAAGCCUUUAUCAACAAAGCCUCGUUUUUGGUCACAAACAGCAACCAGGAAAUUCUGAACUUACAAUACAAGGUCUGCUAUGCGAGAAUUUUAGAUCGAAAGCGUAAAUUCUUGGAAGCUGCACUUUGAUACUAUGGUAUCUCUCAAAUUGAGCAACGCCAAAUUGGGGAUGAGCAAGUUGUGUUUGGAACUGAUAUUGCCUCCAUAUUUUAUUCUCAAAAAUCUUGAUGGAACAUGUUUCUUAGUGCUGUUGUAUAACAUGCACAAUAUUGGCUGGUGCUGGCCCACAACGCUCUCGUGUUCUUGCUACAUUGUACAAGGUUGUUCCUGGCUGUGGUCAUGGAGUUCUAUAUAAUAUAGACCAAAGAUAUUCGUGCCAAAGGUAGUUCGCAUUGAAAUAUUUACCCGAGGACCCACUUCUCCAACUGGUUAGUUAGAAACCUUCAUUUCAUCUAACUGCAUGGGUUCUCUUCGGUUCGACAGUCUCGGUGCAACAUAUUAUUAUUCCCUUUCAGGAACAAAGAUUUGAAUCACCCUCACCCCUCUAGAGAAAUCAGUUUACUCAUUCAAGUUCUGUAAUUUCUUUAUAGUUUUCUGAGUUACUUCGGUCUUGCAUGUAUUAGCUUUCUCUUUGUGCCCCUAUCUAUGCUUGUUUCUUGUGUGCAUGCGCUCCAUUCUGUGUGGGUGUGUGACUUGAUGGUGAAUAUGUGUGUGGCUUGAUUGUGUGUGGCUUGACUGUGUGUGUGAGAUUAUG